rnacentral:lncRNA from 13 species
GGGCAAUGAGCUGUACUAGUUUGAAAACAAACCAGUGGGAGGCACCAAGUCAGAAUAACAAUUUAAUGGAAAUUCAAGAAAAGAAAAAAAAAAGUAAAAGAAAAUACUGUCAAACUGACAGAGUCAAGGUACAACCUGACACCCUGUUAGGCAGGGUGGUGGUAGCAGCCUGGUAAAAUGGUGGCUGCAGUCCUCUGAAGCAGUGAACCUGUAGUAAAAGGGUCUGCUCUUCCUCAGAAAGUCCAAUGGUGGCUGUGUAGCUCCUGUCCUCUGGAAAUCCAGUGGGAAUAGUUGUCUCUGGUGGUCAGAGUCCCAGAUUAUAUCCACGAUGGGAUGCUUGGUUCCUCCCUCUGGGUGGAGCAUCUCACAAUGGGGUAAUGAGUCAUGAGGCCAAGUGUUGAUUAGGCUCAUUAACAGAAGAUAGUCCGGAGGGAGUUAUCUCUGAGUCAUGUGGCAGGACAAUGAUGGGCCAUUAACAGCAAGAUAGUCUGGGGGGAGGAGGCAAGGAAACACUGCCCCACCUGAUUUCAACGGCUGAUGGGGAUGGUAAUAGAAUACACUGCAACCCAGGACAUGAGUGCAGUGCCAUUCUGAUAUUAAAUGAGCCAUCCCACAAUUCAACUGAUUCAUAAGGAAUUCUCACGGGAGAGGAUCUGAGAGCUGUGGGAUGAUGAGUACUAAGAGAUGUUGGGAGAGGUGCUCACUCAUGCAGCCUCACUAGAAGGUUUGUUCUCUGAGGCAACUUCUUCUGGAGCAACUUCCACAAGAUGGUUUUGUUCUUUGCCCUACCGACUACAGUUAUAUACUACAGUCAAGAUACAACCUAGCACUGCUGUGGCCAUCUGGGCCCCUACCCCCAUCUGUGACGGACGUCACGGGUGA